AAAGAUGCUUUCGAUGUCGUGGUCUGUGCCCAGUGUGAAGAAUUGCCAGUUACCUGUAUUGUUAUUGUUGCAAAUAAAUUACGCAGAUUCAGAGUUUUAGGUGACUGUCUGUUUCAGGUUGCUUUUAGUGCUUAUAAUGUGAACGGUAGCGGAAUAUCUUAGCAUAAGAUUCGUAAGUGUUAACGUUAGAAAAGCUAUUAUCUUGGCACCUCUGCAGGCCUAGCACAUGAUUGGCGCGACAGUAUCUCGCGGCGAGAUAGACCACUAGUCUUCUUCUAACUAUGUUAAUUAAAGAGGGACGGGUAGUCUAUCUCGCCGCGAGAUACUGUCUGAUGAUGCAUCAAGGCGGUUUGUUUACAAAGGGCCUACCGGGAUACGCGAAAAUCUAAAUUUAGUUAUCUGCCUCUUUAUCGCUCGAAUAUGCAAGAGUGAUAUAUAGAGGUUAGAUAACAAAAUUUAGUUUUUCUUGUGUUUUGUGGUAGACGCUCAGAUUGUGAUGGAUUGUGGUAGUGGCGCCCCCUAUGCAGUUUCGCGUAAUAUUCCCUAUUGUUCAGUGAAAAUUACCUCAUAAAAUACAUACAUGCUGAAAGCAUCCAUUUCUGACGAAAUACGAGUAUUAUGACGCUGGUACGGAGUGAGAACGCCAAUUGUUCUUAUCAGAAAUGGGCGGCUUUCAUCUCUUGGUCAAAAAUCUACUAUUAUAUUCACUCAUUUCAUGUCAAAGUUCGCGACAUGCGCGGUAGCGAAAUUGCGCGCGCAGCCAUGUUGAAUAUUUGUAAAUACGCAGUUAACAAGUGAAUUGUGGAUUGUAUCGUUGUCUACAUAAUAACUGGAGAGCGGGAAGGUUGAUUGCAAGCCAAAAUAUAUAACAUUAUGACAAUCACAUUCAAAGAACCUGAAGAGCAACUGGCAAACCUCAACGCUCUGAUAUCCGAUUUUUUUCUGAAAACUAAGGAUAUAGAAGGGUACAUGACCCUCGAGGAUCUCACAGAUGAAGAGGAAGAAGAAGAGGCGAAACUUGCAAAAGACUUAUUUGAAGUAUAUCUUAAGAUAAUCGAGGUCAAAGAGCAGAUGAAAGAGGAAGAUUUGCCGAAAGAUAUUAUGACACCGAUUUUUGAUUGGACCGAUAAAUAUUUCGAUUGGAGUGACAAGCAAUUUAACAAAUUCCUCAAGGAGUACAAUCUCGAAUUUUUGUUUAAAGAGUAAAGACAAGCACUAUGAAACACCUAUCGAGGUGUAUAUACCCAUUUUUUAUGUCGAGAAUACGUUUAUACAAAUAAAAGUAUAUUGUCAAGCUUCGUA